ACCUUUGCACAGUGGCAAUAUCGUAGCCAGUGAGGUUUAUCUGAGGUGCGAUUAUUGCUGUUUUGAAUAUUAUUACAGAAAAUCC
rnacentral:snRNA from 1 species